ensembl:lncRNA
AGCAUAUUGUUUUCAGUACAAUGACAUCAAAAUAUCAAAAGUCACUCUGUUCCUGUACACUGUUGAAUAAAAAUUGUAUCCUUGAAUGUUAAAGUCUAAAGUAUUUCAAGUCUUUUUGGUUGGAGUCCGAGCAGGUAUAGCCUAUGAACUGAACCUGAGAUCUGACACACAUGCAGCUUUAUGUGUCCUCAAAAAGUCACAUUUGGGCAUUUUCAGAUAUUCAAGCAAAGAACAAAAGACCUCAAAUACAGAUUUGUGUUGUUGCUGCUUGGACAAUUUCCUGUUUCCUUGGACAGGUUAAGGGCAUCAUGACACUGUCAACAUGAUGGGAUCAUUUUGUGCUUGGUACGGUUGAGGGGGUGUCCACUAGUUGAAUGGUAGUGCCACUCAAGUCUUCACAAAGAUCAGAAUCCCAAACAGUAUGAAAGGAAGGUUCGGCAUGAGAGGUGGAAGAAAAGCAAGGAGAAAACAGAACAGAAGACCAGUUAUUUUCACAUCUACACUGAUACACCAUUUUAAGUCAGCUAAAUGAAAGUAGCCUACUAUGUAAAUGAAGGCACACUGUGAGGUCAGGGGGGUUUAAGUAAAUUUAAGUACGUACAUCAAAUGACUCACCUUUCCUAAAUUCCGUAAGGUUUUGCACCAAAUCAAGGCGCUGCAAAUCUUUCAGCAGUACCUCUGUUUCGAUGAUACACUGGGAUGUACCCCAUACCUGUAUCAUUUUAUCAGCAAGAUCAUCUCUGUCAAGUGAUUUGGGUAUUCUUUUUUUUUGGUGUAGAAAAAACUUCAGUCUCUUGAAUUCUUUUUCAUCUAGGUUAUCCAAAAUCUCCAUUAAUUUGCUGGGCCAUGUGAUUUCCAGACCGGACGCUAAAAUAUUAAAGCACAUAUCAGAGGCAAAUACAUUUUGCAUACACAGAAAUAUAGCACUUCACACAAAGCUAAGCAGCCCUUCCUUACAUAUUGUAAUGUGAUUGAGUAAAAUAUUUACCACAACCCAAUAAACUGAAAGUGUUAUUGUCCCUCCCAACAUCACCUUAUUGACCUCUUUCUGGUUGUGUGUUUUAUACACACUUUAAAUGCACUCACCCAAGUACCAAUUAUACCUAAAGGCACUCAGCUAAAUCUGAAAUUCUAAAUAGUCUGCAGUGUAGAUGUUUACAGUGUAAAUAGUUUCAGACAUUUCUCACUUUUUACCGCCGCUCCUUUUGACGGAGCAUCUG